rnacentral:rRNA from 1 species
UUGGAGGGCAAGUCUGGUGCCAGCAGCCGCGGUAAUUCCAGCUCCAAUAGCGUAUAUUAAAGUUGUUGCAGUUAAAAAGCUCGUAGUUGAAUUUCGGGAUCAGUUCGUCGGUCGUGCCUUUGGUAUGUACUGGUGUUACUGGUUCCUCCCUUCUGACGAACCGUCAUGUCAUUAAUUUGGUGUGGCGGGAAAUCAGGACUGUUACUUUGAAAAAAUUAGAGUGUUUAAAGCAGGCUCGCGCUUGAAUACAUUAGCAUGGAAUAAUGAAAUAGGACGUUCGAUCCUAUUUUGUUGGUUUCUAGGAUUGACGUAAUGAUUAAUAGGGAUAGUUGGGGGCAUUAGUAUUCAAUUGUCAGAGGUGAAAUUCUUGGAUUUAUUGAAGACUAACUACUGCGAAAGCAUUUGCCAAGGAUGUUUUCAUUAAUCAAGAACGAAAGUUAGGGGAUCGAAGACGAUCAGAUACCGUCGUAGUCUUAACCAUAAACUAUGCCGACUAGGGAUCGGAUGAUGUUAUUUUUAAUGACUCAUUCGGCGCCUUACGGGAAACCAAAGUGUUUGGGUUC